AGAGUUUGAUCCUGGCUCAGGACGAACGCUGGCGGCGUGCCUAAUACAUGCAAGUCGAGCGAAUCUUUAGGAGCUUGCUCCUGAAGGUUAGCGGCGGACGGGUGAGUAACACGUGGGCAACCUGCCUGUAAGACUGGGAUAACACCGGGAAACCGGUGCUAAUACCGGAUAAUCCUUUUCCUCACAUGGGGGAAAGCUGAAAGACGGUUUCGGCUGUCACUUACAGAUGGGCCCGCGGCGCAUUAGCUAGUUGGUGAGGUAACGGCUCACCAAGGCGACGAUGCGUAGCCGACCUGAGAGGGUGAUCGGCCACACUGGGACUGAGACACGGCCCAGACUCCUACGGGAGGCAGCAGUGGGGAAUAUUGCGCAAUGGGGGAAACCCUGACGCAGCAACGCCGCGUGAAGGAUGAAGGUUUUCGGAUCGUAAACUUCUUUGAUGAGGGAAGAAUAAUGACGGUACCUCAAAAACAAGCCACGGCUAACUACGUGCCAGCAGCCGCGGUAAUACGUAGGUGGCGAGCGUUGUCCGGAAUUACUGGGUGUAAAGGGCGUGUAGGCGGGAAUGCAAGUCAGAUGUGAAACUCCGGGGCUUAACUUCGGAACUGCAUCUGAAACUGUGUUUCUUGAGUGCUGGAGAGGAAAGCGGAAUUCCUAGUGUAGCGGUGAAAUGCGUAGAUAUUAGGAGGAACACCAGUGGCGAAGGCGGCUUUCUGGACAGUAACUGACGCUGAGGCGCGAAAGCGUGGGGAGCAAACAGGAUUAGAUACCCUGGUAGUCCACGCUGUAAACGAUGAGUGCUAGGUGUCGUGGGUAUUGACCCCCGCGGUGCCGUAGCUAACGCAUUAAGCACUCCGCCUGGGAAGUACGGUCGCAAGACUAAAACUUAAAGGAAUUGACGG
rnacentral:rRNA from 1 species